AUAUCACACUGCAGUGUCAAAAUUCAGGGAGGCCCUGGUACAUGAUUUUCAACAACUUGAAGCUCUGUUUAACAUCACACUUCAGUAUCGGAAGCUGGGAAAUGUCAUGGCUGAAAUACAGUCUCUUAAGCUGUUGAAACAGGUAAUGUUGGAACAUUUUAGCUGAUGUGACUAAUCACAGGGAAAUUAAAGAGUUGUAUUAUUAGCCUGUGCAAAAGCUGACCUUUUCAGAAGCAGUUGAAACAACACCUUUCUUUUGGUGAAAUCCUAUGAAAUGUGGAGAGAGUCUUCUGAAAUCCUUUAUUGCGCGCUUUUUAAGGUCUGUAAAUAAUUAUUCUCAAAUGAACCCAUCAUACACUGCUCGCAUAUCUGUAGAGCCUUGUCUUGAAUUUGGAAUGUUUUGGUGUCACACCUCACUCGUGACCAGCUCUCCCUCGAGUAUGUAGACACUGACGUCAGAGGUGGGACGUUUGUUUACCGAGGUUAGAAGUCCUGUAUUUAGUGUAACGCAUCAGGUGAAUGUCAUUUUAAGAAGAACGCACCGUACUUGCAUUCAGAUAAGGAAGUACUAGACUUGCCAUAAGUCGACCUUUUUUAAUCCUAGGACUUUUAAAAAGUCUAAGAAAGUACGAUUUUGUGUCUUUAAUUGAUGUGUUUCGCUUUAACUGUAUACGUCUUUUUGUGGUUGACUGUCGGUUUGAAAGUGGGCUUGCUUGACAAAUGAUUCGAAUUCCGUUAGGUAGUUGGGAUGGAUGGUAGAAAAGAGCGGACCACGAUGUUCCUGUCAUGUUGGGACCUCCAAGAGUACGUAGUUUGGCCUCUUUCCAUGUGCUUAUUAGAGUCACAGUGCAAAAUUCAAAUUUGUUAUCAAUUUCUUUGUUUGUCUGUUUAGACCAUCCAGAGUAGGGAAAGAGAACAGGAAAGACGCUAUGAUGUGGCAGUAAUUCCCAGUGAUCACAACAAAAAGCUAGAUGUGGAGCUAACUGUUCCUCCAAGAUUUGCCUUGGCCAGUGCAAUGUCAAGUUCUAGUAUAACAACAGAACUUGUCACAUUCAUAUUGGCUAAAAGAUCUGCAGAACUCGACAGGUUUGAAGAGGCAGCGAAAUACUAU